AUUAGCUUGUUGGUGAGGUAACGGCUCCCCCAAGGGGACGAUGCGUAGCCGACCUGAGGAGGGUGAUCGGCCCACACUGGGACUUGAGACACGGCCCCAGACUCCUACGGGAGGCAGCAGUAGGGAAUCUUCCGCAAUGGACGAAAGUCUGACGGAGCAACGCCGCGUGAGUGAUGAAGGUUUUCGGAUCGUAAAGCUCUGUUGUUAGGGAAGAACAAGUGCAAGAGUAACUGCUUGCACCUUGACGGUACCUAACCAGAAAGCCACGGCUAACUACGUGCCAGCAGCCGCGGUAAUACGUAGGUGGCAAGCGUUGUCCGGAAUUAUUGGGCGUAAAGGGCUCGCAGGCGGUUUCUUAAGUCUGAUGUGAAAGCCCCCGGCUCAACCGGGGAGGGUCAUUGGAAACUGGGAAACUUGAGUGCAGAAGAGGAGAGUGGAAUUCCACGUGUAGCGGUGAAAUGCGUAGAGAUGUGGAGGAACACCAGUGGCGAAGGCGACUCUCUGGUCUGUAACUGACGCUGAGGAGCGAAAGCGUGGGGAGCGAACAGGAUUAGAUACCCUGGUAGUCCACGCCGUAAACGAUGAGUGCUAAGUGUUAGGGGGUUUCCGCCCCUUAGUGCUGCAGCUAACGCAUUAAGCACUCCGCCUGGGGAGUACGGUCGCAAGACUGAAACUCAAAGGAAUUGACGGGGGCCCGCACAAGCGGUGGAGCAUGUGGUUUAAUUCGAAGCAACGCGAAGAACCUUACCAGGUCUUGACAUCCUCUGACAACCCUAGAGAUAGGGCUUUCCCUUCGGGGACAGAGUGACAGGUGGUGCAUGGUUGUCGUCAGCUCGUGUCGUGAGAUGUUGGGUUAAGUCCCGCAACGAGCGCAACCCUUGAUCUUAGUUGCCAGCAUUCAGUUGGGCACUCUAAGGUGACUGCCGGUGACAAACCGGAGGAAGGUGGGGAUGACGUCAAAUCAUCAUGCCCCUUAUGACCUGGGCUACACACGUGCUACAAUGGACAGAACAAAGGGCUGCGAGACCGCAAGGUUUAGCCAAUCCCACAAAUCUGUUCUCAGUUCGGAUCGCAGUCUGCAACUCGACUGCGUGAAGCUGGAAUCGCUAGUAAUCGCGGAUCAGC
rnacentral:rRNA from 1 species